GCGGACAGGUCGGGGAGGACAGGUCGGGGCAGCCCGGGCGGGCGGUGCUGACAGAGAUGGGAGGGGGGGCGGUCCUCACACUUCCGGUAUCAACACGAGGCUCUUAAAGAGACAGAGCGUCUGGGCGGGUCACAAAUCAAUCGCACCCCGGUCAGUGUAACCAUCGAGUGGCAGGAACGAGCAGGAUAGUCCCCGCCCGGCUGGAGGAGGGCGGAGGCGCGGUCAGUACGAGGAAAUAUAACAAGUGAAAUAUUAAAAAUACUAAUUUAA